UACGUAGGGGGCAAGCGUUGUUCGGAAUCAUUGGGCGUAAAGCGCGCGUAGGCGGCUUCGUAAGUUCGUUGUGAAAGUCCAGGGCUCAACCCUGGAAUGCCGAUGGAUACUGCGGAGCUAGAGUCCGGAAGAGGCGAGUGGAAUUCCUGGUGUAGCGGUGAAAUGCGCAGAUAUCGGGAGGAACACCAAUUGCGAAGGCAGCUCGCUGGGACGUUACUGACGCUGAGACGCGAAAGCGUGGGGAGCAAACAGG
rnacentral:rRNA from 1 species